GACUCGCCGGCGCGUCCGGCUUCGCACGCAGUGACGCAUUGAUUUUUAUUGUCGUUCUGAAUGUUAUCGGGAACGGGUGAACUUAACGGAUUGUCACUGUAAUACGUUAUUUUUAAAAAAAUGAUACGUUCACGGAGCGCGGGCACAGUGACAUUAAAACGACAAUCGGACUUUUACCGAUAUUAUUACGGGUUUUCGUCGAUACCUCUAAAUCGCGUACAGCCUAAAAUAGUUAACAAUGUCCAGUAUACGACGCGAAAUUAACAUAACGACAAUAUUGAAUUAUAACGAUUAAUACGUGUAUAACGCUAUUGGUAAUAUAAUUAAUUAACGUAACAAAAUAGAUAAACCGUUGAAAUCGAAACAAAUAAAAAAAUAUUAUAUUUUGUACGUAUACAAACGGGACAGUAUUAUAAUAUUAUGUAUUGUCAAUUAUUAAUAUUAUCAACUAACCGAACUACGGUAUUACAAACGAAUCUCACUUUUAAUUAUCAUUAUUGUCAUAAAAUUGCGUAGUAUUGAUUUACCGACUUAUGUAUCCAGUAUCAGUACAUUUGGUCACAUAAA